rnacentral:rRNA from 1 species
CCGCCUGGGAGUACGGUCGCAAGAUUAAAACUCAAAGGAAUAGACGGGGACCCGCACAAGCGGUGGAGCAUGUGGUUUAAUUCGACGAUACACGAAGAACCUUACCUGGACUUGACAUAGUAAGAACUUUCUAGAGAUAGAUUGGUGUCUGCUUGCAGAAACUUAUAUACAGGUGCUGCACGGCUGUCGUCAGCUCGUGUCGUGAGAUGUUGGGUUAAGUCCCGCAACGAGCGCAACCCUCGUGUUUAGUUGCUAACAGUUCGGCUGAGAACUCUAAACAGACUGCCUACGCAAGUAGGAGGAAGGUGAGGACGACGUCAAGUCAUCAUGGCCCUUACGUCCAGGGCUACACACGUGCUACAAUGGGAUAUACAAAGAGCGGCAAUACGGUGACGUGGAGCAAAUCUUAUAAAAUAUCUCCCAGUUCGGAUUGUAGUCUGCAACUCGACUACAUGAAGUUGGAAUCGCUAGUAAUCGUAGAUCAGCUAUGCUACGGUGAAUACGUUCCCGGGUCUUGUACUCACCGCCCGUCACACCAUGGGAGUCGAACUCAUUCGAAGCGGGGAUGCUAAAAUAGCUACCUUCCACAGUGGAUUUGGCGACUGGGGUGAAGUCGUAACAAGGUAACCA